UUUGGCGUCUAGUACGUUGUCGGUCCUUGGUCCUGUGGGGUCUUCAAGCCUGCACGGAUAUGGGCCACCCCUCGGCGAAGCUCGCAGCAGUGGAGCAUCGUUCAGAGGAGACUUGAAAUAAACCGUCGGACGCCGAGGUGUAUCUGAAAGAAAGAAUGGAGCCGUGAGGGCAUCCUGCGUGGGGGAGCAUGAGCCCUGGUUGAUGUGUGCCCAGCCCGGGGUUCAGAGGCAGAGCCUGGCCCAGGUCGAGAGGCUUGGCUCCGGGAGAGGUCUGGGAAGCCGGACAUCUGCAACACACCUCGGUUGCCCCAGAUUCACUGCAAGUCACACUUGCCAGCUGCUCAACCCAGACUACCCUGGACUAGGAAUUGUGGUGGGGAGCGGGUGGGGUGAAGACAUGUUUGUUGGGAUAGCUCUCCUUUACCACUACAGAUCUUUUGAAGUUGAUUUUCCUGUGACUCAGACCCUCCUCGGGUGGCAGAUAGAUGUUGACCGCUCUUCAGAAUGUGACCUGUGUGUGUGACAAGACCAUUCUGAAAUGUGUGGCAUUGUCAGGUAGUGCUAAUCAAAUUUUUUGUUAACUGAUUGCAAUGUAGCCAUCCAAAUUUCAGAUGGUGUUGUGUAUUUUUUUGGAUUCAUUAAAACCAAAGCGUGUUUCCACUGGU